UACGUAGGGUGCGAGCGUUAAUCGGAAUUACUGGGCGUAAAGCGUGCGCAGGCGGCGCGUUAAGUCAGGUGUGAAAGCCCCGAGCUUAACUUGGGAACUGCGCUUGUGACUGGCGUGCUGGAGUGUGGCAGAGGGAGGUGGAAUUCCACGUGUAGCAGUGAAAUGCGUAGAGAUGUGGAGGAACACCGAUGGCGAAGGCAGCCUCCUGGGCCAGCACUGACGCUCAUGCACGAAAGCGUGGGGAGCAAACAGG
rnacentral:rRNA from 1 species